GAUGAACGCUGGCGGCGUGCCUAAUACAUGCAAGUCGAGCGAACAGACGAGGAGCUUGCUCCUCUGACGUUAGCGGCGGACGGGUGAGUAACACGUGGAUAACCUACCUAUAAGACUGGGAUAACUUCGGGAAACCGGAGCUAAUACCGGAUAAUAUAUUGAACCGCAUGGUUCAAUAGUGAAAGACGGUUUUGCUGUCACUUAUAGAUGGAUCCGCGCCGCAUUAGCUAGUUGGUAAGGUAACGGCUUACCAAGGCAACGAUGCGUAGCCGACCUGAGAGGGUGGACCGGCACAACUGGACCGAGGAACGGUCCCGACUCCGAACGGAAGGAACCGUUGGGAAACCUUCGCCAUGGGGGAAAAGCUUACCGGGGCAAGGCGGGGUAGGUAAGAAAGUCCUCCGAACCGUAAACCCCGUUAAUUGGGGAGAAAAAAAGUUGUAAGAAACAUUCCCCGUUUGGCGGGAACCUAUCAAGAAGGCACGGCCAAAUUCGUG
rnacentral:rRNA from 1 species